GACAGAGGGGGCAAGCGUUGCUCGGAAUUACUGGGCGUAAAGGGCGCGUAGGCGGGAUGGCAAGUCGGUCGUGAAAUCCCUCGGCUCAACCGAGGAACGUCGAUCGAUACUGCUGUUCUUGAGGAUUGCAGAGGAGACUGGAAUUCCCGGUGUAGCGGUGAAAUUCGUAGAUAUUCGGAAGAACACCAGUGGCGAAGGCGACUUACUGGACACAUAUUGACGCUGAGGUGCGAAAGCGUGGGGAGCAAACAGG
rnacentral:rRNA from 1 species